rnacentral:tRNA from 1 species
AACUUUAAGCAAGUGGUUUUAAAACCCACAGAUAGGACAUAAAACCUUUAAAGUUU